GUUAUUUUAUUCUUGUUUUAUCACCUCUCUCUUCUUUCCCCUUCUGAACGGUGAAAGGGUUCCGAGGCAUCAUCUAUCUAGGAUGUCCCUAGAAAUGGAAGAUGUUGAAGAUGGUUUACAUAAACCUCCCAAAAGAGUGGUACUGAACAUCAACAACAAAGACGAGGUCACAAAAGGCACUGCUUUACCUGGCGAGAUACUGAUCGAUAUACUCACCAGACUCCCAAUAAAGGACCUCUGCAGGUUCAGGUCAGUUUCUAAAGAAUGGCUCGCUUUGAUAUCUUCUGAUCAGCUGUUCUUGAAUAUGCACACCCGUCUAUCUAAUAUAACCCCUCUAUACAUUUCUUGUAAUUGUUCUAGAGACAGCGAAAAUGACGACAGUAUAUCAAUGGUGAAAAUAACCACUGUUGACUUGAACAACGGAUCGUUGUGUGACCAAUUUACUACCAUCUUUCGUGAUCAUAUGUGUAGUUGGAUUUCUUGCUUUGGUCUGAUAUGUUUAAUCGCCUUUAGUCAGGUGUAUGUAUGUAACCCUAGCACCCACGAGCUUCUGGAAUUGCCCGAAGCUUUUUGUUCUCGUUCCAUAGAACAUAUUGGUUUCGGAUUCAUUCCGGUUAGGAACGAAUAUAUAGUUGCCCAUUUGUUUCGUGACUUUCGUCCAGAGCACCGGGAUGAUAGAAAGCUUUCGUGUGAGAUGUUUACAAUAACAGAUGGUGGUGGGGGUAAUUCUGAUUCUUGGAGGAUUAGAAAAACCCCUUGUAUACACGUGGAGAAGGGCACCACGUCGGUUUGUGUCAAUGGUUUUAUUUAUUGGAUGGUCUCAGAUUUAGGUUGUACCCACAAAAGUUUUAUCUUUGGAUUUAGAGAAGGAAGAAUUUGGACUCAUUGGCUAUCCCCAGUGCUAUAUGGAUUUAGAUUAUUCAGACUUCACUGAGUAUUGGUUGUCUUUGGUUGAGCUGAAAGGGGUUUUGUGUUUAGUGGAUAACUUUUUCAUUUCAAUUAUGGAUGUAUGGAUGUUGAAGGAUCACAGUAAUCACACUCGGGUAAAAGAAUGCAGCAUUAACUUCUCUACUGUGGAUGGGUAUAUUGAUAAUAUGGGUUGCAGACCUUUGGCUGAGGUUAGAGGAGAAAUAUUGAUCGAGUCAAAUCAAGGAGAUAUGUUUUACUAUUCUUUUGAUGAGUCAAAUCAAGGAGAUCUGUAUUACUAUAAUUGUGAGAAUGGGAUUUUCAGAAGAGCUGAAGAAUCAAAUGCAGAUGGAACAAAACGACGUGUUUACUUUGCUAGCUUAUUUGCUCUUGGAAGCAGAUAGAGACAUCAUUAACUUUGAACGAUUGUGCUUGACAAUGUUGCUAUCGAAAGAACACCUGGGGUGACCUUGAUUAUACACUCACCUGUUCUUGAUUAUACACUCACCUGUUCGAUAUCAUCAGCUUGAUCUAUUAACAUGUUUGAUUCUUGUGGAUUUCAUAUUUCUGGACUCUUUAUGCUUUCUAACCAGGAAGGCUCUUGUGGAUGAUGUUCCCAUCCAUUCUGUGGAAGGGGUGCUGCUUCUAUAGUUCUUUUCAGUGAUGCAAACUUCAGAUUUUUUCCACCUGAUUUGAGUUUUGAAUUGUAGAAUGACAUUUGGAUACUUGUAGCUGCUGAUGGCAGAUCUUCUUAAAACAUAAUAUUAUGUUAUUAGUAUUGAUGAAA